rnacentral:rRNA from 1 species
AGAGUUUGAUCAUGGCUCAGGAUGAACGCUGGCGGCGUGCUUAACACAUGCAAGUCGAGCGAAGCGAUUUAGCGGAAGUUUUCGGAUGGAAGUUAGAUUGACUGAGCGGCGGACGGGUGAGUAACGCGUGGGUAACCUGCCUCAUACAGGGGGAUAACAGUUAGAAAUGACUGCUAAUACCGCAUAAGCGCACGGGGACGCAUGUUCUUGUGUGAAAAGCCGAGACGGUAUGAGAUGGACCCGCGUCUGAUUAGCUAGUUGGUGAGGUAACGGCCCACCAAGGCGACGAUCAGUAGCCGACCUGAGAGGGUGACCGG